AACGAACGCUGGCGGCAGGCUUAACACAUGCAAGUCGAGCGCCCCGCAAGGGGAGCGGCAGACGGGUGAGUAACGCGUGGGAAUCUACCCAUCUCUACGGAAUAACGCAUGGAAACGUGUGCUAAUACCGUAUACGUCCUUCGGGAGAAAGAUUUAUCGGAGAUGGAUGAGCCCGCGUUGGCUUAGCUAGUUGGUGGGGUAAAGGCCUACCAAGGCGACGAUCCAUAGCUGGACUGAGAGGAUGAUCAGCCACACUGGGACUGAGACACGGCCCAGACUCCUACGGGAGGCAGCAGUGGGGAAUAUUGGACAAUGGGCGCAAGCCUGAUCCAGCCAUGCCGCGUGAGUGAUGAAGGCCCUAGGGUUGUAAAGCUCUUUCACCGGUGAAGAUAAUGACGGUAACCGGAGAAGAAGCCCCGGCUAACUUCGUGCCAGCCGCCGCUGUAACAC
rnacentral:rRNA from 1 species